UGUUCACACCAGCAGAGAGCGGGAGCUUGGGAAAAGGCUGUGAGAACCUACAGAAAAAUAAUAUUGGAUUGGUGCUUUGGCUGUAAAGGAAUAACCUGGAUGUCCCACUUUGAAGUGAAACAGGGAGAAGGAAACAUUAACCAUGGGAGCCUCCCCUGCCGUCUCGCCUCUGUUCCCAAUGGCCAUGGGAUGUGGUGUGCAGGAGCAGUCACCAUCUGAUCCUCGUCUGGAGAAGCCACAUGGACACAACCUACAACAAGAGUCCACUGUCUUGUUUUUGAUCCUGGUGGUGAACACCUUUUUGUGAAUAAAACACCCUCUGGUUUUGCA